rnacentral:rRNA from 1 species
GAUGAACGCUGGCGGCGUGCCUAAUACAUGCAAGUCGAGCGAACGGACGAGAAGCUUGCUUCUCUGAUGUUAGCGGCGGACGGGUGAGUAACACGUGGAUAACCUACCUAUAAGACUGGGAUAACUUCGGGAAACCGGAGCUAAUACCGGAUAAUAUUUUGAACCGCAUGGUUCAAAAGUGAAAGACGGUCUUGCUGUCACUUAUAGAUGGAUCUGCGCUGCAUUAGCUAGUUGGUAAGGUAACGGCUUACCAAGGCAACGAUGCAUAGCCGACCUGAGAGGGUGAUCGGCCACACUGGAACUGAGACACGGUCCAGACUCCUACGGGAGGCAGCAGUAGGGAAUCUUCCGCAAUGGGCGAAAGCCUGACGGAGCAACGCCGCGUGAGUGAUGAAGGUCUUCGGAUCGGAAAACUCUGUUAUUAGGGAAGAACAUAUGUGUAAGUAACUGUGCACAUCUUGACGGUACCUAAUCAGAAAGCCACGGUUAACUACGUG